AUAAUUUCAUUCACAUGACUAUGAAUCUAACAUUUUGUUCCCAUGGUUUAUGAAUGAGAGCUAGUCAUUGAUAUUUUUAUCCUCAGAUAAGAAAUUUUUAAACUAAUAAAACUUUCCAAUAAAAUUUAUACUUUUACAACUGUGAGCCAAGUUGUGCAUCUUAACAAAAUUUGGAGCUUGUCAAUACCUCACACUUUAGACAGUUAUUAACUAAGUGGAGUUAAAGACAGACCUGCAGGAAGAAACUGAAUCCUACAUCUGACCAUGUGUUUUAGAGGUCUGAGUUAUUUGCCAAUUUUGUUGGUAUUGACAUCCUUUGCCACAUUUAUUGUGUCAUAUAUCAUUGCUAUUGUAAGGCAUGAUGUAUCUCCGUAUUUUCCUUACAUAAGUGACACUGGUACCAAACCACCAGAAAGCUGUAUUUUUGGGCAGUUCCUGAAUAUAUCAGCUGCAUUAGCCAUUGCUACUAUGUAUGUUAGAUAUAAGCUGGUAUCACAGAUCUGUGUUGGGGAAGAUAAAAAACUUGUCUGUUUAAACAAAGCUGGUCUGGUUCUUGGUAUUUUCUCUUCACUGGGACUAAGUAUGGUUGCUAACUUCCAGGAGACAAAUGUAGAGCCAGCACAUGUGACAGGUGCAGCCCUGGUCCUUGGAGUUGGUGUAAUUUAUGCCUUUGUUCAGACCUCUUUAUCAUACCGCAUGAACCCUGACUACAAUGGACUGAAGAUCUGUAGAAUCAGAUUAGCUAUCUCAUGUAUAGCAUUAACAGCUAUGAUCAUAACAUUUGUCUCAGCCACUGUGUCCAGAAUACAAGUACAUGGACACAUAGAUAAAACAAAAUGGAAGCCUGAAAAUGGGGGAUUUACAGCACACAUAAUCAGCACUAUAUCAGAAUGGGUGACAGCUGUAACUUUUCUCCUGUUUUUCUUCACGUUUGUCAGAGACUUCCAGAAAGUAAAGCUUGGAAUCGUAGCCACAGUUCUAGUCAGACAUUUAGAUGUAGAACCUGUAGAAGAUAUCAGUGAACAGGUGGAUGAAAGGAGACCUCUGUUGUCUUGAUGUACAGAGGGAGAAGUACUAACACUGAUUUGUGAUCAAGUGGCAUUGCUUUACAGACUCGAGUCAAAACAAAACAUACCCAUUUUAUGUUGGUUAUGGGUAUUAUGGAACAAUGACAUUAAGUCUUUGAUCUACAAGAUUGUGUGUCUUUAUGCAGCUUUAUGACAGUUAUAACUUGCAUGCUUCCUUGUUGUGUGUUUCCUAAUGUCAUUAGUGCAGAGGUGUCUCAAAUUUUACCUCUCUAAGAGAUGGCUUAAUAUAGUUUUAUUUUCUCGAUUGCAACAAAAGUCGCAAAAUGCUAUAGAGUGAUUACAAUCUAUGGUGGAGACUUCAUAAACUAUUUGUAUAAAGCUUUAUAUAUCAGAAGGUAGAAUACCUGGAUGCUUCAUACUUUGUAUGUAGAUGUUUUUUGUUACACAGUUUCAGUCUGUCAUAAGUUCAUUAUCCUUGACCUCAUUUUCAUGGUUCAGCAACUCCUUGAAAAAAAGUUAUAGUUAUUUUUUUGUCAUGUGAAAUUUUCACUUAUUAUGAGUAUUAGGAUACCAAUAUUUAGUAUAUGGGUUACUUGCAAGGUCUGUAUGUCUGUCAGAUAGGGUUCACCUGACCUAAACUUCAUUUCAUGGAUCAGUGAUCAAGCUGUUAAGUUUUCAUGGUCAAGUCAGUAUCUCAGAUACCAUCAGCAAUAGGUUGACUACAUUUGGUGUAUGGUAUGAGUGUAAUGUGUACAUUUCUGUCUGGCAGGUUCCAUCUGACCUUGACCUUUUUUCAUGGUUCAUUGGACAAUUUUAAGUUUUUGUUGUUUGGUCUAUUUCUCAGAUACUAUAAGCAAUAGAGCCAGUAUAUUUGGUGUAUUGAAUAAUUGUAAGGUGUACAUAUCUAUCUGGCAGGUUUUAUCUGACCUUGAACUUUAUUGAUAAAAGUUAAGUUUUUCAUGGUUUUGUCAGUUUAAUUGAUUACUAUAAGUAAAACUAUAUUUUGUGUAUAGAAUGAUUGUAUGGUGCAUGUGAUCCCACGAAAAAGAUCCUUUUUAUGGGAUAAGUAUUCAUUCCCAUGCACAUGCAAUUAGGUUUAAUUUUAUUUUUUUCUAUAUUAUAUCAAAGGAGACAUAUCUCACUAUUAACUGUUAAACAUGUAUUAUCUAUCCUGAUUCGUGAUAUGAUGCAGAUUAUGUUUCUCUUGGUUUUAUCAAGUUUUAUUGAUUGUAUCUGUAUUUAUUUUGUAGGUGUAAUACCUGUGAUUUACCUUUCAUUAUUGGUGCAUUAUAUAAUUAUUGCGUUUUUGAAUGUUAAUGCUAGUCUUUUUAAAAAUGUGUUUUCUUGUGAAAUUAAAUUGCAAUGCUAGUCUUUUACUGAUGUUUUUUCUUGUGUUAUUGAAUCCUAAUGGUAGUCUUUUUAGUCUUCCAUUCUCUAUUCUAUUUUUAAACUACCUUGGCUAGAAGGUCAAACAAUUGCCAUUUUCAUUGUUUAUAUUAUUAAUCAUAUCAUGAACAUGCAGGAAACAGUUUAUCACAAAUUUCUUCUCGCCUUGAUGGAGUGAAAAAUCGAGACAUAGGUAUGCUGUUUCCGGCAGCGGCGGAGAUGGCGUCAACAAUGUAUUAAUUUGUGAUUAGGUCAGUUCAUGGGAAACCACUAGUGGUAGGUCAAUGAUAUUUGGUAUGCAGUUGUAUUAGCAUUGGCACAUUUCAUUUCCAUAGAGAUUAUUUGGACCGGCCCCCUCAGUCAUGGUCUAUUGACUUUGAAACAUUUGCUUAGUUUACAUGUUUGUGAUUAGGGCAGUUUAUGGGGACCCACUAGUCGCAGGUCAAUGAUAUUUGAUAUGCAGUUAUAUUAGCACAUCUCAUUUCCAUGGAGAUUAUUUGGCCCUGUACCUUCAUUCAUGUUUCAUUGACUUUGAAUAUUUUGCAUAACUUACAUGUUAAAGUAUUGCAAUUUUUAUUUCAACUUUUGCAUUUAUACUAUCAAAAUAACAAAGAGGCAAGACAUAUCUCUGUGUUAACAGUUUAUUGAAUGUAACAUACCUGUCCAGGUUUAAAAGCGAGACAUGUCUCUGUGUUAACAGUGUAUUGAAUGUAACAUACCUGUCAAGGUUUAAAGGUGAGACAUGUCUCUGUGUUAACAGUUUAUUGAAUAUAACGUACCUGUCAAGGUUUAAAGGCGAGACAUAUCUCUGUGUUAACACUAUAUAUAUGACAGUUUAUUGAAUGUAACAUACCUGUCAAGGUUUAAAGGUGAGACAUGUCUCUGUGUUAACAGUUUAUUGAAUAUAACGUACCUGUCAAGGUUUAAAGGCGAGACAUAACUCUGUGUUAACACUAUAUAUAUAACAGUCUAUUGAAUGUAACAUACCUGUCAAGGUUUUUAAUUGUGUAAAGAAAUAAUGUGAAUUAUUGUAGUUUAUUUAAACCAUAAGUCUGCUUUAAUUUAUUUCAUGUUCAUGACUUAGUCUUCCUCUUAUGAUUUUUAUACGACCGCAAACAAAUUUUUGUGGUCGUAUAUUGGUAUGACGUUGGCGUCGUCGUCGUCGUCGUCGUCGUCGUCCGGCGUCGUCCGGCGUCGUCCGAAGACACAUUGGUUUUCGCACUCUAACUUUAGUUUAAGUGAAUAGAUCUUUAUGAAAUUUUACCACAAGGUUCAAUACCACAAAAGGAAGGUUGGGAUUGAUUUUGGGGGUUAUGGUAAUAACAGUAAAGGAAUUAGGGGCCAAAAAGGGGCCAAAAAUAAGCAUUUUUGUAACUUCCAGACAUAACUUGUGUGUUAGUGUAUGGAUCUCUCUGACAUUGUACCACAAGGUUCCAUAUCACUAAAGGAAUGCUGGGAUUGAUUUUGGGGGUAAUUGCCUCAAAAUUUUAGGAAUUAGGGGCCAAAAAAGGGGCAAAAAACAAGCAUUUUUCUAGUUUCAUGACAAUAACUUGUGUGUAAGUGUAUGGAUCUUUCUGAAAUUGUACUACAAGGUUCCAUAUCAUAAAGGGAAAGCUGGGUUUGAGUUUGGGGGUAAUUGCCCUAAACGUUUAGGAAUUUGGGGCCAAAAAGGGGCCAAAAAACACAUUUUUUUCUAGUUUCCAGACAAUAACUUGUGUUCAAGUGUAUGGAUCUCUCUGAAAUUGUACUGCAAGGUACCAUACCACAAAGGGAAGGCUGGGAUUGAGUUUGGGGGUGAUGAAUCAUAAUGGGGGUUCAAAAAAUUUUGGGGGGGGAUUUAUUUUUUUUUUCUUUUUUUUUCUUUUUUUCCUUUUUUGUUUCUUUUAAAAUUUUCCAUUUUAAGUUGGUUAUUUCUGAUUUAUAUUUAAAAUCAAAUAAUAAUGAUAUGGUAGGAGAUACACACCAAACAGGAUGUGUAAAUUAUUAUAUAAUAAGUAUUGUGCAAUAGCAAGAAAUUUUCAAUUGCACAGUAUUGCACAAUAGCAAGAAAUCUUCAAUUGCACAGUAUUGCGCAAUAGCAAGAAAUCUUCAAUUGCACAGUAUUGCGCAAUAGCAAGAAAUAUCCAAUAGCACAAUAUUGCGCAAUAGCAAGAAAAUGUCAAUUGUACAGUAUUGCGCAAUAGCAAGAAAUAUUUAAUAGCACAGGAUUGUGCAAAAGAAGAUACUUCCUAUAAAUUGCUUAUUUCUUGACCAAUUUCAAUGGGGUUUUAUUCUUGAUUUCAUGGGGUUCUUUAAUAUGCUGAAUCUAACCGUGUAUUUAGUUUUUGGAUUUUGGGCCCCGUUUUUAAAUUGGUCCACAUUGAGGUCCAAAGGGUCCAAAAUUAAACUUUGUUUGAUUUCAUCAAAAAUUGAAUUAUUGGGGUUCUUUGAUAUGCCGAAUCUAACUGUGUAUUUAGAUUCUUAAAUUUUGGUUCCGUUUUCAAAUUGGUCUACAUUAAGGUCCAAAGGGUCCAAAAUUAAACUUAGUUUGAUUUUAACAAAAAUUGAAUUCUUAGGGUUCUUUGAUAUGCUGAAUCUAAACAUGUAUUUAGAUUUUUGAUUAUGGGCCCAGUUUUCAAGUUGGUCCAAAUCGGGGUCCAAAAUUAAACUUUGUUUGAUUUCAACAAAAAUUGAAUAUAUGGGGUUCUUUGAUAUGCUGAAUCUAACCAUGUAUUUAGAUUUUUGAUUUUUGGGCCCCGUUAUCAACUUUGUCCACAUUGAGGUCAAAAGGGUCCAAAAUUAAACUUUGUUUGAUUUCAUCAAAAAUUGAAUUAUUGGGGUUCUUUGAUAUGCCGAAUCUAACCGUGUAUUUAGAUUCUUAAUUUUUGGUUCCGUUUUCAAAUUGGUCUACAUUAAGGUCCAAAGGGUCCAAAAUUAAACUUAGUUUGAUUUUAACAAAAAUUGAAUUCUUAGGGUUCUUUGAUAUGCUGAAUCUAAACAUGUAUUUAGAUUUUUGAUUAUGGGCCCAGUUUUCAAGUUGGUCCAAAUCGGGGUCCAAAAUUAAACUUUGUUUGAUUUCAACAAAAAUUGAAUAUAUGGGGUUCUUUGAUAUGCUGAAUCUAACCAUGUAUUUAGAUUUUUAAUUUUUGGGCCCCGUUAUCAACUUUGUCCACAUUGAGGUCAAAAGGGUCCAAAAUUAAACUUUGUUUGAUUUCAUCAAAAAUUGAAUUCUUGGGGUUCUUUGAUAUGCUGAAUCUAACCAUGUAUUUAGAUUUUGGAUAUUGGACCAUAAUAGGUGAAUGUCCAAUUUAAAAUUUUUAAGUUCUUAGACCACAUUCAAUCUGUGUUAGAAACCUAUGCUGUGUCAAAUAUUUAAUCACAAUCCAAAUCCAAAGCUGUAUCAAGCUUGAAUGUUGUGUCCAUACUUCCCCCAACUGUUCAGGGUUCGACCUCUGCGGUCGUAUCAAGCUGCGCCCUGCGGAGCAUUUUAUUGUUAUAUCAUUUAAUAAAGAUCACGUUUAAUUUAUUUUAUUUGCAUAUUAUGCAUGUUAAUAGAAGUAUUAACCAGUCAAGUUUCUGCUUUUAUUUUAAUCAGAAUAAAAUCUCAUUUUGUCUUUCAUUUUUUAAAUCAUUAUUUGGUUUGUUACAUGAGAUGUUUACUUGUAUUUAGCUAAAUAUAUCAAAUUUGAUUUUAUUCAUUUUACAUAAGGAUGUAUUCUUUAUAUAUAUAUAUAUAUAUAUACGUGAUUUUAUUAAAAAUGAAGGAUGCAA